UACAGAGGUCCCAAGCGUUGUUCGGAUUCAUUGGGCGUAAAGGGUGCGUAGGCGGCCAACUAAGUCGGACGUGAAAUCCCCAGGCUCAACCUGGGAACUGCGUCCGAUACUGGAUGGCUUGAAUCCGGGAGAGGGAUGCAGAAUUCCAGGUGUAGCGGUGAAAUGCGUAGAUAUCUGGAGGAAUACCGGUGGCGAAGGCGGCAUCCUGGACCGGCAUUGACGCUGAGGAGCGAAAGCCAGGGGAGCAAACGGG
rnacentral:rRNA from 1 species